AUUGAACGCUGGCGGCAUGCCUUACACAUGCGAGUCGAACGGCAGCGGGGGAGAAGCUUGCUUUUCCUGCCGGCGAGUGGCGAACGGGUGAGUAAUACAUCGGAACGUGCCCUGUAGUGGGGGAUAACUAGUCGAAAGAUUAGCUAAUACCGCAUACGACCUGAGGGUGAAAGUGGGGGACCGCAAGGCCUCAUGCUAUAGGAGCGGCCGAUGUCUGAUUAGCUAGUUGGUGGGGUAAAGGCCUACCAAGGCGACGAUCAGUAGCCGGUCUGAAAGGACGAUCGGCCACACUGGGACUGGGACACGGCCCAGACUCCUACGGGAGGCAGCAGUGGGGAAUUUUGGACAAUGGGCGAAAGCCUGAUCCAGCAAUGCCGCGUGUGUGAAGAAGGCCUUCGGGUUGUAAAGCACUUUUGUCCGGAAAGAAAUGGCUCUGGUUAAUACCUGGGGUCGAUGACGGUACCGGAAGAAUAAGGACCGGCUAACUACGUGCCAGCCGCCGCAGUAA
rnacentral:rRNA from 1 species